rnacentral:rRNA from 1 species
UAGUCCACGCCGUAAACUAUGAUAACUCGGUGCUGGCGAUAUACAGUCAGUGCCCAAGCGAAAGUGGUAAGUCAUCCACCUGGGGAGUACGAUCGCAAGGUUGAAACUCAAAGGAAUUGACGGGGGCCCGCACAAGCGGUGGAGCAUGUGGUUUAAUUCGAUGAUACGCGAGGAACCUUACCUGGGCUUAAAUGUAUAAUGACCGUCUCGGAAACGAGACUUUCUUCGGACAGAAUACAAGGUGCUGCAUGGUUGUCGUCAGCUCGUGCUGUGAGGUGUCGGGUUAAGUCCCAUAACGAGCGCAACCCCUAUUUUCAGUUGCCAGCAUGUAAUGAUGGGGACUCUGGAAAGACUGCCUCCGCAAGGAGUGAGGAAGGCGGGGACGACGUCAGAUCAUCAUGGCCUUUACGCCCAGGGCGACACACGUGCGGCAAUGGUACAUACAGAGGGUCGCGACCCGCGACGGGUGAGCCAAUCUCAGAACGUGUAUCUCAGUUCGG